rnacentral:rRNA from 1 species
GAGUUGAGCGUCUCUAAGCUAUGGUAGAGACGCGGCGUACGGCUCAGUAACAUGUGGCUAACCUACCCUUAGGACGGGGACACCCCGGGAAACUGGGGCUAAUACCCGAUAGGUGAGGAGGCCUGGAAUGGUUCCUAGUCGAAAAGGCGUUGAAACCAUGCUUUUCGACGUCGCCUAAGGAUGGGGCCGCGCCCGAUCAGGUUGUUGGUGGGGUAACGGCUCACCAAGCCUAUAACCGGUACGGGCCGUGAGAGCGGGAGCCCGGAGAUGGGCACUGAGACAAGGGCCCAGGCCCUACGGGGCGCAGCAGUCGCGAAAACUCCGCAAUGCGCGAAAGCGUGACGGGGCUACCCCGAGUGCCGUCCGCUGAGGAUGGCUUUUCCCCGGUGUAAUGAGCCGGGGGAAUAAGGAGAGGGCAAGUCUGGUGUCAGCCGCCGCGGUAAUACCAGCUCUCCGAGUGGUAGGGAUGAUUAUUGGGCUUAAAGCGUCCGUAGCCGGCUUAGCAAGUCUCCUGUUAAAUUCAGCGACUUAAUCGUUGAGCCGCGGGAGAUACUACUAGGCUAGGAGGCGGGAGAGGCCGACGGUAUUCUCGGGGUAGGGGUGAAAUCCUAU